CCUACGGGUGGCUGCAGUGGGGAAUAUUGCACAAUGGGGGAAACCCUGAUGCAGCAACGCCGCGUGAGCGAUGAAGGCCUUCGGGUUGUAAAGCUCUGUCUUCAGGGACGAAACAAUGACGGUACCUGAGGAGGAAGCCACGGCUAACUACGUGCCAGCAGCCGCGGUAAUACGUAGGUGGCAAGCGUUGUCCGGAAUUAUUGGGCGUAAAGGAUGUGUAGGCGGUCUCUUAAGUGGGAUGUGAAAUCCCCGGGCUUAACCCGGGAGUGGCAUUC
rnacentral:rRNA from 1 species